rnacentral:rRNA from 1 species
UGGGGAAUAUUGCACAAUGGGCGCAAGCCUGAUGCAGCGACGCCGCGUGGGGGAUGACGGCCUUCGGGUUGUAAACUCCUUUCGUCAGGGACGAAGCGAAAGUGACGGUACCUGGAUAAGAAGCACCGGCUAACUACGUGCCAGCAGCCGCGGUAAUACGUAGGGUGCGAGCGUUGUCCGGAAUUACUGGGCGUAAAGAGCUCGUAGGUGGUUUGUCGCGUCGUUUGUGGAAUACCGCAGCUUAACUGCGGGGUUGCAGGCGAUACGGGCAUAACUUGAGUGCUGUAGGGGAGACUGGAAUUCCUGGUGUAGCGGUGGAAUGCGCAGAUAUCAGGAGGAACACCGAUGGCGAAGGCAGGUCUCUGGGCAGUAACUGACGCUGAGGAGCGAAAGCAUGGGUAGCGAACA